UCGGGAAUUUUGGGCAAUGGGCGACAGCCUGACGCAGCGACGCCGCGUGGGGGAUGAAGGUCUUCGGAUUGUAAACCCCUUUCGGCAGGGAAGAUGGAACGGGUAACCGUUCGGACGGUACCUGCAGAAGCAGCCACGGCUAACUUCGUGCCAGCAGCCGCGGUAAUACGAAGGUGGCAAGCGUUGUUCGGAUUUACUGGGCGUACAGGGAGCGUAGGCGGUUGGGUAAGCCCUCCGUGAAAUCUCCGGGCCUAACCCGGAAAGUGCGGAGGGGACUGCUCGGCUAGAGGAUGGGAGAGGAGCGCGGAAUUCCCGGUGUAGCGGUGAAAUGCGUAGAGAUCGGGAGGAAGGCCGGUGGCGAAGGCGGCGCUCUGGAACAUAUCUGACGCUGAGGCGCGAAAGCUAGGGGAGCAAACGGGGAUUAGAUACCCAAGUAGUCCCUGAGCGGGCUGGCAAGGCGCAU
rnacentral:rRNA from 1 species